rnacentral:SRP_RNA from 1 species
GCCAAGUGAGGUAGCACAGCCUGUGGUCCCAGCUACUCUGGAGGCUGAGGAAGAUCAUUUGAGCCCAGGAGUCCCGGUCUGGAGUGAGCUGUGCCUAUUGGGUAUCUGCAGUCAAUAUGGUGACCUUUCGGGAGUGGGGACCACCAGGUUGCCUAGGGAGGGGUGAACUGGCUUGGUGGGAAACAGAACAGGUAAAAACUCCUAUGCUGAUCAGCAUUGGGAUGGCACCUGUGAAUAGCCGCUGCCCUCUAGCCUGGGCAACACAGGAGAACCUGUCUUU